rnacentral:misc_RNA from 1 species
UGGUGUACCCAUUCUCAUCAGCUUUCUUCGCUGUUUUAACAUUGCUAACUUCAAUUUUCUCUCCUUCAUGACCUGAACCCACAGGUCGAUCGGCAAGGCUCGAAUUAUUCAGAGGAGCAGAGUAUAAAGGUUUAUCAACAACAUUUACUUCAACAUUGGUAAUGCUAUAGCCACCAGAGGAACAUGACAGCUUCUUCUUAGGCUGAUUAUGAGGGCCUCCAUACUUGCGUUUCCUCUUUCGUGAAGAUUUACCAGAUCGCAAGCUAUCCUCAAAUGCAUCAAUGACAUCAGAACAUGACUGCA